UAGGAUUAGCGGCGGACGGGUGAGUAACACGUGAGUAACCUGCCUUAGACAUUGGGAUAGCCUCGGGAAACCGGGAUUAAUACCAAAUAAAAUCAUAAUGACACAUGUCAUAACGAUCAAAACUCCGGUGGUCUAAGAUGGACUCGCGUCCCAUUAGCUAGUUGGUAGAGUAAAAGCCUACCAAGGCGACGAUGGGUAGCCGGCCUGAGAGGGUGAACGGCCACAUUGGAACUGAGAAACGGUCCAA
rnacentral:rRNA from 1 species